rnacentral:rRNA from 1 species
AGCGAACGCUGGCGGCAUGCCUAACACAUGCAAGUCGAACGAGACCUUCAGGUCUAGUGGCGCACGGGUGCGUAACGCGUGGGAACCUGCCCUUAGGUUCGGAAUAACUCCCCGAAAGGGGUGCUAAUACCGGAUAAUGUCUUCGGACCAAAGAUUUAUCGCCUUUGGAUGGGCCCGCGUUGGAUUAGCUAGUUGGUAGGGUAAAAGCCUACCAAGGCGACGAUCCAUAGCUGGUCUGAGAGGAUGAUCAGCCACACUGGGACUGAGACACGGCCCAGACUCCUACGGGAGGCAGCAGUGGGGAAUAUUGGACAAUGGGCGAAAGCCUGAUCCAGCAAUGCCGCGUGAGUGAUGAAGGCCUUAGGGUUGUAAAGCUCUUUUACCCGGGAUGAUAAUGACAGUACCGGGAGAAUAAGCUCCGGCUAACUCCGUG